AACGAACGCUGGCGGCAUGCCUAACACAUGCAAGUCGAACGAGACCUUCGGGUCUUGUGGCGCACGGGUGCGUAACGCGUGGGAACCUGCCCUUAGGUUCGGAAUACCUCCCCGAAAGGGGUGCUAAUACCAGAUAAUGUCUUCGGACCAAAGAUUUAUUGCCUUUGGAUGGGCGCGCGUUGGAUUAGCUAGUUGGUAGGGUAAAAGCCUAGCAAGGCGACGAUGCAGAGCUGGUCUGAGAGGAUGAUCAGCCACACUGGGACUGAGACACGGCCCAGACUCGUACGGGAGGGAGCAGAGGGGAACAUAGGAGAAGGGGCGAAAGCCUGGUCCAGCAGUGCGGGGGAUGUGGGGAAGGCCGUAGGGUAGUAAAGCUCUUUUAGCCGGGAUGAGAAUGACGGUACCGGGUGAAUAAGCUCCGGCUAACUCCGUG
rnacentral:rRNA from 1 species